rnacentral:rRNA from 1 species
UACAGGGGGGGCAAGCGUUGUUCGGAAUUACUGGGCGUAAAGGGUGUGUAGGUGGCGCCGUAAGUCGGGUGUGAAAUUUCGGAGCUUAACUCCGAAACUGCAUUCGAUACUGCGGUGCUUGAGGACUGGAGAGGAGACUGGAAUUCAUGGUGUAGCAGUGAAAUGCGUAGAGAUCAUGAGGAAGACCAGUGGCGAAGGCGGGUCUCUGGACAGUUCCUGACACUGAGGCACGAAGGCCAGGGGAGCAAACGGG